rnacentral:rRNA from 1 species
GGACGAACGCUGGCGGCGUGCUUAACACAUGCAAGUCGAGCGGUAAGGCCCUUUCGGGGGUACGACGAGCGGCGAACGGGUGAGUAACAACGUGGGUGACCUGCCCUCAGCUCUGGGAUAAGCCUGGGAAACCGGGUCUAAUACUGGAUAUGACUCCAUGACGCAUGUUGUGGGGUGGAAAGCCUUGUGCGGCUGAGGAUGGGCCCGCGGCCUAUCAGCUUGUUGGUGGGGUGAUGGCCUACCAAGGCGACGACGGGUAGCCGGCCUGAGAGGGCGACCGGCCACACUGGGACUGAGACACGGCCCAGACUCCUACGGGAGGCAGCAGUGGGGAAUUGUUCGCAAGUGGGCGCAAGCCUGACGACGCAACGCCGCGUGGAGGAUGAAGGUCUUCGGAUUGUAAACUCCUG